rnacentral:rRNA from 1 species
CACGUAGGCACCAAGCGUUGUCCGGAUUUAUUGGGCGUAAAGAGCUCGUAGGCGGUUCGGUAAGUCGGGUGUGAAAACUUUGGGCUCAACCCAAAGCGUGCACUCGAUACUGUCGUGACUAGAGUUCGGUAGGGGAGUGGGGAAUUCCUAGUGUAGCGGUGAAAUGCGCAGAUAUUAGGAGGAACACCGGUGGCGAAGGCGCCACUCUGGGCCGAAACUGACGCUGAGGAGCGAAAGCGUGGGUAGCAAACAGG